rnacentral:rRNA from 1 species
UACGUAGGGUGCGAGCGUUGUCCGGAAUUACUGGGCGUAAAGAGCUCGUAGGUGGUUUGUCGCGUUGUUCGUGAAAACUCACAACUCAAUUGUGGGCGUGCGGGCGAUACGGGCAGACUGGAGUACUGCCAGGGGAGACGUGGAAUUCCUGGUGUAGCGGUGGAAUGCGCAGAUAUCAGGAGGAACACCGGUGGCGUAAGG